rnacentral:lncRNA from 1 species
CGCACCCCCACGACCCUCCCCCACCGGGGCGUGGACCUGUGAGUCUGGGUCUUGCGCGGCCUUGCCCCACGAUCCCCCGACAAGGGCGUCACUUCCCCGCUAAAGAAUCCCACGCUCUGUCCCCGUCCCCGCUGCUGCCUGUCUGCCCCGUGUCACGCUGUCCCCUCCGUGGGGCACCUCGCAGGGACUCCUGGGAAGACCGAAGCAUGUGCAGCCCUCUCUUCUGGGGACCCCCAGUGACCUGAGGACAGGCCCAGGAGACAGGAGGGAAACCGAGGCAUGGGAGCGCAUCCUGUCGUGUCUGCAGUGCUGGAGAGGACGUCACUGUGAGCAGCUCCAAGCGCCAGAGCCUCCGAGGCUCCGGCAGAGCCAGGCUGGUGGUGAGGGCUACAGACCGCCGGCCCAGACUUCAGGAACACACCAUCCCUCUGGGCUGAGACUGCAGGUCUGUGAUCCGGGCAUUCGCAGAGACUGAGAGCAGCGUCCCCACUCUGUCCUGGCCAUCAGCAGCAUCUCAGCCUUCAUGUGUACGGUGUCCCCAGAGUCUGCAGAGACGUCCCUGUGUAUCCGGACACUGGGCAUCAGUCCACAUAACCCAGGCCAGCCUCGAUCUCCCCGGGAUCUUCCUGCCUCAGCCUCCCGAGUGCUACAAUCACAGGCACCACUACGCUGGGCUCCUUUUUCACUGGCUUAUUUUAUAUUAAGAAGGACUGUGAGAAUCUCUCUAGGCGGAUAGUUUCAGUUCUUCUACAGGAGAUGCAGGUGACCCCUGACCUGCAGAGCACCCCCGGGGCCAGGCCAUCAGGGGGACUCCAGAGGGGCCCAAGGCCGCCGCUGACCAGGGCAGACCCAAGUGGGCGUGGUGAAGUCAGCAGUGUGGAUGCUGCCUGGGCUCUGUGUCCCCAGAGGCGCUGAGGGAGCCCUGCAGCCCAGCUCCAUGCCAGCUGGACCCUGGGGCUCCACUGGGCCGGAUGCCACCUGGGCUGGUGGCCCACUGGCCACCUUCCUGAGCCGGGUGCCUCCCCAGCAGCAGAGCUGCCAGCUGGCUCUCUCCGUUCCUCCCCAGGUGAGCUGCUGGAGCAGCCUGUGAGGCCCCUCGCUGAGGCUGUGCACACUGAGACCAGGGUGCUGCUCAGGCUGGCCUCGAACUUUCAGUCCUCCUGCCUCAGCCUCCCAAGUAGCUGGGAUCACAGGUGUGGCCCCCCCGCCCCAUCUCCCCCCCGGACAUUUUCGGGGGUCACUGGGCUGCUGUGGGAGGCAAGGCUGACUGAGGGCUGAGGGGACCCACCCGGGAUCCCCCAGGGAAGCAGCCUGCGGUGCUGGGUGCCACUCGUGGUGGUGCAGCCCCAGGCGUCUGGGGCAGGACUCAACUCCACACCCAGGGGUCUCUGCUCUGGCUCUCACCGAGGUGCCUGCCCCAGGGCAUCGUGGG